CAUUUUCAGGAAAUAGCUUUGAUUUCGUUUUUUUAAACUAAAACCGUACUUAAACCGACACAGGUAAAUAAAUUUAGUAAAUUAAGAUGUUGAGUUAACUGUUGUUGAAGGAACUCGGCAAAAUGACUCCGUAACUUCGGGAUAAGGAGUGGCUUUUUUUGGGCAACCUUUUUAAGCUCACAGAAAAUCGGGAACAGCGACUGUUUAAUAAAAACACAGGUUUCUGCUAAUUUGUAAAAAGAUGUAUAGAAACUGACGCCUGCCCAGUGCUAAAAAACUAACGAAAAAAGUUUUGGCUUUAAUCCUAACUUUUAGUAAACGGCGGCUGUAACUCUGACGGUCCAAAGGUAGCGAAAUUCCUUGUCGGGUAAGUUCCGACCUGCACGAAUGGCGUAACGAUGGGGGCGCUGUCUCUACCCGAGACUCAGUGAAAUUGAAAUCGCCGUGAAGAUGCGGUGUAUCCGCGGCUAGACGGAAAGACCCCGUGAACCUUUACUACAGCUUGGCACUGAACAUUGAACCUACAUGUGUAGGAUAGGUGGGAGGCUUUGAAGCACAGUCGCUAGAUUGUGUGGAGCCGUCCUUGAAAUACCACCCUUGUAUGUUUGAUGUUCUAACAUUGGUCCCUUAUCGGGAUUGUGGACAGUGUCUGGUGGGUAG
rnacentral:rRNA from 1 species